GUAGAGGGCCACCAGGUCCCUCCCCACACGCCCGCUGUCCACGCGCUGCGGCCUUGGAGUAACUGCUGUUCUUAAAGGCUGCCUCCGUCCUGCCGCGCGGCCUUUAGAGGGUUGGAGCUGGCAGAACCGUAACUCCCUCUCUGAGGGUGAAUACGGGCCUUGAUUGCCAGAAGGGCCCUCGGCCGGGGACGCGGGAUGAUGCGGGGCCGGGAGAUGCUUUCCUGGAGGCUGAGAAACCUGGAGGGAGACCCCCAAAACUUCUCAGUUCGCCGACCCCUUGGUCCCAGAGGGAGAGGAGCAUCCCCAAAGAACAUUCAAGUCUGAGCCUCAAGGAGCCUCUGCGACUCGGUGUCUAGAUCCAGGAAAUGGAGAAUGAGCCGUGACUUUGGAUGCUUCACUCUUGUCCAUCAGGCUCGGAAUUGGUGAGCAUCUCCCACAUUACCGUCUCCAACGGAACAAGGUGCCCCAUUGGACAUUUCCUCUGCAUGGACCAGCCAUUCUCCAAAUCUGCCCCCAUGUCACCCCAGCUCCCCAUCGCAGUCACUUCUCACUCCUUGUCCCCUGUCCCCCUGAGUGACAGGACUUUUGCCAGUUAGGUCCUGUCCCUGUUUCUGAUCUUGGGUCCAUUCCCCAUGGUCCCUUUCUUGCUUGUGCCUUGGGAUCUCAGGCCUGUUGAAGUAGGAGGCAGGACUCAACUUCAGACCAGAUUGAAGACUGGCUGACACAGAAGAGGCACCAAAAGCACCUCUCUCUCCAUAAGACAUGCCCACCAGUGCCAUGACAGUUUACCAUUGCUAUGGCAAUGCCCAGAAGUUCUCACCCCUUUUCCAGACAUUUCUGCAUAAUCUACCCCUCAAUUGGCAUGUGAUCAAAAGUGGGUGUCAAAAUGACUGUGGAACUGUCCCUGAGCUGCUACUCUUGACAUGCUGGUUACAGGGUAGCCCGGCUCUGCAGGGACAGUCACGGAGCUGAAAAACUGCUGCCUAAUGAAGCUGUUUUCUUCUACCACCGGCUCACCCUCAAAUUAUUUCCUGAGCGAACUCAAGAACCUUCCUGGGCUAAGCCCCAAUUUUGGGGCUCGCCUGCCCCUGCAUCACAGCUUCCUCUUCUGUUCACAGCUGCAACCGCCUACUCAACCUUCUGCGGUUCCUCUCCCUGCCCCUCCACAGUGGCUGCUGAUGGGAGCUCUGGCUCCCUGCGUUUUCACUAUCUCCCAGUCAAAUGCAGAGUCCCUGUGCAAUUUAAAUGCUUCUCAGCUAAGAACAGAGAAGGGGAUAGCAUAAGGAUAUUCAAAAGAUUCAAGAAAUCUCAAAAGUGAUCACAAAA
ensembl:lncRNA novel transcript